UUUGGAGAAGCAAAAGGCCAAGGAACUAAAAAUAAAGCAAACACUGCUGGCAAAAGCAAAGGCAGAGCCACUUAUGAGCCCAAAUUUGAUAAAAGUAGGUGAAAGGAUUAUCACCAAACAAAAAAUGAAGGAUCCAAUUUCUGAGGUGGAGUGAUGCACUUUUGUAAAAGGUUGGAGUUGCCACUGCACUUGAAGUCAGAGCCACAGCAAUCCAGUAUGUUUUUUCACCCUGCAUUGCUGGAUUUUAGAUGGGGUCACUCUUAUGAGAGCUAUAGCUAAGAUCAUAUUAUUGUUCGAGCAAUGACUGAAAGCACUCGAUGUACAGUGACUACCAAUAAGGAACUUCUACUAUACCUUUCAUUAAUUG